GUGUUAUUUUUGGGUAACUGUGGCACACAGUAUUUGGUGCAUUGGCCGGGAAAACGUGACCAGGUGGAAGGACAGAGUCCUGGGCCUCUUGGGGCGGCGUGCCCUGCCUGUAUUUUAGGCAGCCCAUGCAGCUUGGGAUUUCUUCCCCUUCCACCAGGUGAAGUGACCCAAAGCGGAGAGACUAGGUGUAUAGUGAAAGUAAAGGAGAGGACUCUGCGGCAAAUCCCGACCGUCAUGUGGACAGAGCAGUCAGUCACUUUUGCAGGAGAAUGGUCAGAAAGCUGGUUCCUACAAGAAGACAAGAUGCUGAGAUGCUGUGCUGGAGAUGGCUGGAACAAACACUAAGGACCAGAUGACUUCAUUGACAAUAUCCCCUGCCAGACAGCUGUAUAGGAAAAGACUUCUUGAAUUUUAAAGGGACUAAUUGCUCAAACUCCCCCUCUAGGGUUUCCUGUUCAUAAACUACAAGUAGGUAAUUGGGUAUAUGUUCGAUUUUGGAAAGAUGAAAAAUUAACCCCGAAUUGGGAUGGGCCCUUUCAGGUACUUUUAACGUCUGAUACUGCAGUUCACACCCAGGAGUGGGGUUGGACCCAUCACACCAGAGUAAAAGGACCAGUGGCGCCUCCUUCAUCUGAAUGGACUGCUGAAAAAUGAGAGGACCUCAGACUAUAUCUAUGAAGGAGACUGCCUCCUAUGGGCCCUUAUCAUGAUCCUUAAUCUUCUUUCAUUUCUUAUAGUGACUGUUACUGCUGUACCUAUCCCUGUACUGUUUCCACAAGAGAAUCAAUUUAUACAACUUAUGCAAAAGUAGGGGAAAUAUUUAACCUUAAGAACUGUUGGAUUUGUGGGGGGCCUCAACAGCCUGAACAAUGGCCAUGGGUACCUGUGUCCUUAAGUCCAGCCUGGAUCUUAAGUAACAGAUCAGAGGUUAAUAAUCAAACAGGUUUUUGGGCUGAGACUGAAGAACAUUCCUGGCCCCUAGUUGAAUCAAUUAAAGGGAAGUAUUAUAUUAAUCAAAAGGGUAGGGGAAAGCAAUUGGGGAUGAGUACAUGUGAGUAUACUUAUUCCUGCCAGAUUGGUUACUUUGAAGUUGACUGUUCCCUAUAUCAAGGUAGAUGAAAUGCCACUCAUAUUAAAUGCACUAAUGGGACAUGGAUAUCAUGUAAGAGUGCAAGGUACCUUACUGGUACUAAUUACCGCACAACUUGCAGAUAUGUAUUGGCAGGAGGAAAUCCUCAUUUAAGCUGUAAUCUUUCCCAGGAAAUUGGUGACUUACAGCGACCAAAUCUAUGUAAAGAUGAAAAUAGUAUUAAUGGGAAACUGAGGCUUCCUUAUUAUGAUUGGGCAUGGAGAAAUCAAACAUGGUCUGGAUAUUUUAGGAAAUUUUGGAGAAAGGAGGAUCAUACUAAUGCAGAUCCAGGGGUGGAAAAUUGUAAUUGGAAAAAAAAUAAACAGCUAUGGAAAUGUAUUUAUAAAGAUGGGGACCAUAUAUGGUUCCGAGGGGGAUCACUGGGAGAGAGGGAUAUUCAAUAUUAUCCAUCAAAAGGAAAUGUGAGUUGAAUUUUCAUUAAAAAAACAACCAGCUUUAAAAGGC